GAUGAACGCUGGCGGCGUGCCUAAUACAUGCAAGUCGAGCGAACAGACGAGGAGCUUGCUCCUCUGACGUUAGCAGCGGACGGGUGAGUAACACGUGGAUAACCUACCUAUAAGACUGGGAUAACUUCGGGAAACCGGAGCUAAUACCGGAUAAUAUAUUGAACCGCAUGGUUCAAUAGUGAAAGACGGUUUUGCUGUCACUUAUAGAUGGAUCCGCGCCGCAUUAGCUAGUUGGUAAGGUAACGGCUUACCAAGGCGACGAUGCGUAGCCGACCUGAGAGGGUGAUUGGCCACACUGGAACUGAGACACGGUCCAGACUCCUACGGGAGGCAGCAGUAGGGAAUCUUCCGCAAUGGGCGAAAGCCUGACGGAGCAACGCCGCGUGAGUGAUGAAGGUCUUCGGAUCGUAAAACUCUGUUAUUAGGGAAGAACAAAUGUGUAAGUAACUAUGCACGUCUUGACGGUACCUAAUCAGAAAGCCACGGCUAACUACGUG
rnacentral:rRNA from 1 species